GGUGGCUCAGUGGUAGAGUGCUUGCCUUGCAUGCACGAUGGCCUGGGUUCGAUUCCUCAGUACCA
rfam:Dipodomys ordii contig_44281, whole genome shotgun sequence.